rnacentral:misc_RNA from 1 species
AAAAAACCUUAUCUUCUUGUGCUUUCAAAUUCCAAAUCCAAACCCAUCCCUCUCUCUAAAAAUCUCUGAGUCUGCAUCAAACAUUUCACAUUAAGCAGCAAAUUCUUCAAUGGCUCUGAGGAUCGUGUAUGGUGUGGUGUUCUUGUCUUUCUCAUGCGCCUGCUUCAAGCUUCUCCACCUCUUCCUCCACCCAGUCUUCUACUUCACUUCUUGAUGUAACGUAACGAUGGGAGGAAAGGAUAGAGAUCUCAAGAAGCUCAAAUGUGUUUGUUAAUUAUAGUGAGAUUUUCUUCAUUUUUAUACCCUCAAUUAUAAUAAUUAUCUUUGUAUUACUUGGCAGAUCAUGUUUUCGUUGGUCCCUAAGGCUAAAUCUGUGUUUCUUGUUAUGAAUCAUGAUACAAUCGGAUCUGCAUCUGUUAUGUUCUUGGUUUGGUUUUCGUGUGUGAUGAGAUUUGGGAAUUCCAAUUAAUUGAAUGACAAUUCCCUAAUAAUUAUGUAUUAUGAGUUGUCUCUUUAAUUAUUUAUCUCUUCUUUUAAUUUUUUAGAUAAAAUUGUUUGUGGUUUCAUGCACUUUAGGGUCUGUGGUUAAGUUAGGUUUGUGCUACGUGCAUUAAUUUUUAAUUAACAAUAUUUUUUAAUUAUAAAUUAACGAAUAAAUAUUUAAUCUGUCAAUCUCUCUCCUUCCUCUUCAUCUCUAGAGCCCAUAGCCCUUUUCGAACCAGUCCCUGGUACUUUAUUUCCAACAGUUUUGGUUUGUUUUAAUCCAUUGUUAAUAGUGAUUUGUG